rnacentral:lncRNA from 1 species
GUCUAAACGAUAAUAACAAAUCGAUGAACUACAUGCAUGAAUAGCAGUGAUAAUACCAAAUAUAUUAACUACAUGUACUCACAAUAUAAGAACACACCGGAUAAUGAAUAUCAGUUCAAUAUAAGAACUUUAUUUUUUAAGUCGACAUAUAUACGACGCUUGCCUUAGAUUUCAGAGCGCAUCACACUUAUUCAUAAAACAUUCUACAAUUAUAUCAAAGUUAAGAAUUCGGUAGUGCAGAUAAACAA